rnacentral:RNase_P_RNA from 2 species
GAAGAAGGCCAGGUAAUCGCUCUGACUUUAGUCCGCUGAAAUCAGGGAGGAAAGUCCGGGCUCCAGAGGGCAGGGUGUCCUGAGUAUUCAGGAUCCUGUGAGGGAAGGAAAGUGCAACAGAAAAUAUACCGCAGGAAGGCUAAAGCCUCCACUUAUAACCAUUAGUUAAUAGCUAUAAACUAUAAGUGUGGCAAAGCCAACUUGUAAGGGUGAAAAGGCGAGGUAAGAGCUCACCUUCUGAUAUGGUAACAUAUUAGAAUUGCAAACCCCACCCGGAGCAAAGCCAUGUAAACUCGCUAUGGAACUGCCCGUUCCAGAUGAUUUUACAUCAUCAGCGAGAGGGUAGGCUGCUUAGACAGAUGAUUACCGUCCUGAAUUUUUUCAGGAAACAGAACCCGGCUUACGGCCUUCUUCAGUU